ensembl:lncRNA
AGAUAGGGCCAGGCAGGCUUCUCCGGAGGGCUGUGCCUUGGUUUCCCAGCUGCUUUCUUGCUUCCUCCUGAGGCUUCUGUUAGCCUGUACUCAGCCUAGCAGGUUGAGCUCAGGCGACUGUUCCAGGGCUCCGUGCCUUCUUUUACUGGAUGCUGCUCUUGUGUCCCACUCGCUUUCCAGGGCUCUGCUCCACACCAGUAGGGCGUGCAGUGGGACUGAGAGUCUGCACACCCCUAGCAUCCUAGAGGUCCAGAAACAGCCCAGCCCCGCUGGCCACUCCUUGCAUGCAGCCUCAGUUUGCCGCCUCCUCGCCCAGUGGAUGCUGCUCUGGAACUGCUGAGACCUCCCUGGUGCUACGCUGGCAGAGACAC